AACGUAGGUGGCAAGCGUUGUCCGGAUUUAUUGGGUUUAAAGGGUGCGUAGGCGGCUUUGUAAGUCAGUGGUGAAAUAUGGCAGCUUAACUGUCAAGGUGCCAUUGAUACUGCGGAGCUUGAGUACAGAUGAGGUAGGCGGAAUUGACGGUGUAGCGGUGAAAUGCUUAGAUAUCGUCAAGAACACCUAUAGCGAAGGCAGCUUACUAGGCUGUAACUGACGCUGAGGCACGAAAGCUAGGGUAGCAAACGGG
rnacentral:rRNA from 1 species